AGUGAACGCCGGCGGCGUGCUUAACACAUGCAAGUCGAACGAGAACGGAUUAUAGCUUGCUAUAAUUGUCAGCUAAGUGGCGCACGGGUGAGUAAUGUAUAGGUAAUAUGCCUCUUACUAAGGGAUAACAAAUGGAAACGUUUGCUAAUACCUUAUACUCCUUAUUAACAGAAGUUAAUAAGUGUAAGAUUUAUUGGUAAGAGAUUAGCCUGUAUUGUAUCAGUUAGUUGGUGGGGUAAUGGCUUACCAAGACUAUGACACAUAACUGGUUUGAGAGGAUGAUCAGUCACACUGGAACUGAGACACGGUCCAGACUCCUACGGGAGGCAGCAGUGGGGAAUAUUGCACAAUGGACGAAAGUCUGAUGCAGCAACGCCGCGUGGAGGAUGACACAUUUCGGUGCGUAAACUCCUUUUAUAUGAGAAGAUAAUGACGGUAUUAUAUGAAUAAGCACCGGCUAACUCCGUGCCAGCCGCCGCGGUAAGAC
rnacentral:rRNA from 1 species